rnacentral:lncRNA from 1 species
UGAGAGCUAACAUAAAAACUAAAAAUGGUGGUGGGGUGUGGGAUAGUCACACAAAUUGGAGAGAUGAUGUGGGGGACCCAGGAAAAGAGCAUCAAUGUCAAUAGGGCAGCGUAUGAGCCUAGAUGAAUUCCGGGGGUUCAGGACUUGACUGGGAUACUGGGCUCAUUCAGGUAUCUACAGGAGGAUAAAAAGCAGACUUGACAUAAAUUGCUGAGCAAAUGUUGUGAGGGUACUCCAGGUUAGGGAGGGGCCUGUUUACCCUUCCUGUGAUAAUCCUGUUUUUCCUCUGCUCACUUGGUGUAUAGUUCACUCUGUGGGUUCCUCUGUGGAUGUAUGGGAACGGCGAGAUCUCACCCAUUCGAACAAGGGCAAUUACAGAUCAUCUUGUCCUCAUGCCUCCUCGACUUAGACUCUCUACUGGGCUCCAGUAUUUACACUGCUGCCAGGAGCUCUUCCAUCACGGUGCUGCUUUGCCAAUUUAUCGUCCUGAGUCUGCAGUUCAUGGUUUAACUCCUGGCACCGACUUUGAUAUUUGGAAUUUUGAGGUUCAGGGACUUCAGAGAAUUUGGCAGCACAGUGUAUUGGGAGAAACGGAAAUUUCAGGAGAUGGAUUGAUCGCCCUGGCGGACGUGUUUCUGGAAGUGGGUGAAGCCGAAUGAAGGUCAUGAAUCCCUCAAAGGAUUAAGUAUGAAAUGGUGAUCAGUGGUAAUGUAGCUGGCUGGUGAGGAAACAAGCCAGAGACUGCAUCUAGAGGUGAGCUAGAGGACUAUGGAAGUGGCAUAUCUUGAAAUCAAAAUUAAACUCAGCUCUUGGCAGUAGUGGACAAGUUCUCACAUUGUGAUUUCAAUAUUGGAGCAAAAUAAGCACUUCAGUAUUUUCGUAUUUA